rnacentral:rRNA from 1 species
CACGUAGGGGCCAAGCGUUGUCCGGAUUCAUUGGGCGUAAAGAGCUCGUAGGCGGUUCAGUUAGUCGGGUGUGAAAUCUCCGGGCUCAACCCGGAGGGGCCACCCGAUACUGCUGUGACUUGAGUCCGGUAGGGGAGUGGGGAAUUCCUGGUGUAGCGGUGAAAUGCGCAGAUAUCAGGAGGAACACCAAUGGCGAAGGCAGCUCGCUGGGACGGUACUGACACUGAGACGCGAAAGCGUGGGGAGCAAACAGG